CCCUUAGAUGUUCGGGGCCGCACGCGCGCUACACUGAAGGAAUCAGCACGUCUUUCUCCUUGUCCGAAAGGACUGGGUAACCCGCUGAACCUCCUUCGUGCUAGGGAUUGGGGCUUGUAAUUCUUCCCCAUGAACGAGGAAUUCCCAGUAAGCGCGGGUCAUAAGCUCGCGUUGAUUACGUCCCUGCCCUUUGUACACACCGCCCGUCGCUACUACCGAUUGGAUGGUUUAGUGAGAUCCUCGGAUUGGUCCCGGCGCGGCCUCUGGUCGUGCCGGAGUGCCGAAAAGAAUGUCGAACUUGAUCAUCUAGAGGAAGUAAAAGUCGUAACA
rnacentral:rRNA from 1 species